GCGCUGAUCCCCCAGCCCGCCGGGAGCACCAGGCCGGACGGGCCUGCGCCUCCGCCGCCGCGCCGACCAUGUCGGCAGCCAAGGAGAACCCGUGCAGGAAAUUCCAGGCCAACAUCUUCAACAAGAGCAAGUGUCAGAACUGCUUCAAGCCCCGCGAGUCGCAUCUGCUUAACGACGAGGACCUGACGCAGGCAAAGCCCAUUUAUGGUGGUUGGCUGCUCCUGGCUCCAAAUGGGACUGACUUUGACAACCCGGUGCACCGGUCUCGGAAAUGGCAGCGACGGUUCUUCAUCCUUUAGGAGCAUGGCCUCUUGCUAUAUGCCCUGGAUGAGAUGCCAACGACUCUGCCUCAGGGCACCAUCAACAUGAACCAGUGCACAGACGUGGUGGAUGGGGAGGGCCGCACGGGCCAGAAGUUCUCCCUGUGUAUUCUGACGCCUGAGAAGGAGCAUUUCAUCCGGGCAGAGACCAAGGAGAUUGUCAGUGGGUGGCUGGAGAUGCUCAUGGUCUAUCCCCGGACCAACAAGCAGAACCAGAAGAAGAAAGGGAAAGUGGAGCCCCCCACACCACAGGAGCCUGGGCCUGCCAAGGUGGCUGUCACCAGCAGCAGCAGCAGCAACAGCAGCAGCAGCAGCAUCCCCAGUGCUGAGAAAGUCCCCACCACCAAGUCCACACUCUGGCAGGAAGAAAUGAGGGCUAAGGACCAGCCAGAUGGCAGCAGCCUGAGUCC